AUUAGGGCAGCGGUUAACAGGAUAGUGCCUAACUCCGUCAGGUCCGGAAGGAAGCAGCGGUAAGUACGAUUCUUGUGUAGCCGUCUGUCCUUUUUUA
rnacentral:SRP_RNA from 1 species